rnacentral:rRNA from 1 species
UACGGAGGGGGGCUAGCGUUGUUCGGAAUUACUGGGCGUAAAGCGCACGUAGGCGGCGAUCUAAGUCAGAGGUGAAAGCCCGGGGCUCAACCCCGGAAUAGCCUUUGAGACUGGAUUGCUAGAAUCUUGGAGAGGCGGGUGGAAUUCCGAGUGUAGAGGUGAAAUUCGUAGAUAUUCGGAAGAACACCAGUGGCGAAGGCGGCCCGCUGGACAAGUAUUGACGCUGAGGUGCGAAAGCGUGGGGAGCAAACAGG